UACAUGGGGUGCAAACGUUGCUCGGAAUUAUUGGGCGUAAAGCGCGCGUAGGCGGUUACUUAAGUCGGAUGUGAAAGCCCUCGGCUUAACUGAGGAAGUGCACCCGAAACUGAGUAGCUAGAGUACGAAAGAGGGUCGCGGAAUUCCCGGUGUCGAGGUGAAAUUCGUAGAUAUCGGGAGGAACACCGGUGGCGAAGGCGGCGACCUGGGUCGAGACUGACGCUGAGGCGCGAAAGCGUGGGGAGCAAACAGG
rnacentral:rRNA from 1 species